CCCUUAGAUGUUCUGGGCCGCACGCGCGCUACACUGAAGGCAUCAGCGCGUCCUUCCCUCCCCGAGAGGGGCGGGUAACCCGCUGAACCGCUUUCGUGGUAGGGAUCGGGGCUUGCAAUUAUUCCCCGUGAACCAGGAAUUCCCAGUAAGCGCGAGUCAUAAGCUCGCGUUGAUUACGUCCCUGCCCUUUGUACACACCGCCCGUCGCUACUACCGAUUGAACGUUUUAGUGAGGUAUUUGGAUCGGACCUGAAGGGGUUCACGCCCUUUCUGUGUCUGAGAAGACUCCCAAACUUGAGCGUUUAGAGGAAGUAAAAGUCGUAACA
rnacentral:rRNA from 1 species